rnacentral:rRNA from 1 species
AAACUUACCAGGUCAAGACAUGGGCGUGAUUGACAGGCUAAUGACUUUUCUCGAUUCCAUGGAUGGUGGUGCAUGGUCGCACUUAGUUGGUGCAGUGAUUUGUCAGGUUUAUUCCGGUAACGAACGAGAUCUCGGCCUUGUAAAUAGCUAUGCUGCUUACAGGGACAUUGGCGGCUACGCCAAGGAAGCUCGAGGCAAUUGCAGAUCUGGAAUGCCCUUAGAUGUCCUGGGUCGCACGCGUGCUACAAUGACGCCACGAACGAGCUUGCGUGAUGAAAGUUACGCAUAAUCAGCAGUCGGCGUCUUAAGGGAUAGUCUCUUGUAACUGUGGGACUCCAACUAGGAAUGUCUCGUAAGCACAAGUCAACAUCUUGUGUUGAUUACGUCCCUGCUCUUUGUACACACCGCCCGUCGCUCCUACCGAUCGAGUGUUUAGGUGAAUUUGAUGGACGUAAGGAAGUCAAAUAAACCUGAGCACUAGAGAAGAGAAGUCGAGCAUG